rnacentral:rRNA from 1 species
GACGUAGGGUGCAAGCGUUGUCCGGAAUUAUUGGGCGUAAAGGGCUCGUAGGCGGUCCAUUGCGUCGGGAGUGAAAAGCUGGGGCUCAACCCCAGUCCUGCUUCCGAUACGGGUGGACUAGAGGUAUGCAGGGGAGAACGGAAUUCCUGGUGUAGCGGUGAAAUGCGCAGAUAUCAGGAGGAACACCGGUGGCGAAGGCGGUUCUCUGGGCAUUACCUGACGCUGAGGAGCGAAAGCGUGGGGAGCAAACAGG